rnacentral:lncRNA from 1 species
UUCAAAAUUCAAAAUUCAAAAUCAAUUGAAACAAUUAAAGGUACUGAUUGGCUCCGCCACCAUGUAUUACAUACCCUUAAAACCCAACAUACGUGGGUGAAAAUCAAACCUGGGUUUUGAAACUCAAACUCACACCAAUACAUUCUCCUCUCUAUCUCUCCUAAAUCAAGAAGUAGAUAAUGUUUAAUGGCUUGAUUUGAAGAUGUUUAGGUGAUUCUCAGAUUCGUAUGAAUUCAUCCGGGACCCUUCAACACUUGUUUCUGGCUAGAUCACAUUCAUGGAGGUAUAAUAUGCCACUACAAUAGAUUCGACUUUUGAAGUCAAGAAAUAUAGGUACUAUGCGUAAUUGGCUGGGAUUUCUCCUUAGCAUCAUUAGAAGUCUCGCAAGCUUAAGAUGCCUGAAGUCUGUUGAACAAUAUCUUAUUAU